UUUUCCUCAUAUUUCUGGCGUUUGUGUGUUUGAAAAUGUUUCAAUGUUUCAAGUAACAUUUUAUACGUAGUUUAGCAAUCGAUACGACCAGAACCGAGGGAAAGAUAACGCAACUGUGACUCAAUACAUCGUGCAAACACGUUUGUGGUAACGCAAGAAUACGUUUAAUUAAAUGGUCUGAGCCUAUUUGUUUUGAAUGAUGAUUUAUAGGUCACAGAUAACGUCGAAGCAGACAAUGACGAAUGACAAACGUACACGUAUACUCGAAUACUGGGUGUCGAUUAAAAAAUAAAUUUUGAUUCCACCCAUUACUUCUGAACUCUGUUAGAAUGAUCAGUGUGAUUUCACCAGGUACACUACUUCUUGAAGGAUGUCGAUUACGUCUUUAGCUUGCGACUUAUGUAGCAAGCAAUUAACGUGAACAAUUGAUUGGAUAUGACGAAAACGUUCGUUUUAACAAAAGAUGAUAAAGAAGAAGAUCAGCACGUGCCAAGAACAUCUUUAAACUGUAUACAAAUUACGCGUCUACUAUAUUUUAUUCUGAAUCAUGAUCGACGAUUUGAAUAUUAUUAUUUAAUUGCAUUUCGUAUCACUUAAGCCAUCAUUCGUCGCUCGCUGCGUGAAAAAAUGUACCGUACUCUCUCAAGAGCGUAUGUGUUAGGAGAGCUGCUAUGGACAAUUGCCUUUAAUGCCAUUAUGCACAGCUUGCAAAUUGUUAACAGGUCCAUUGGUUCAAGAUAGUAAUUGAUCCUUACUCAGAAAUCACACCCAGUCGAGUUUAGUGGGAGAUAUACAUAGAAUCGUGAGUGUAUUGCAUAGCUUGGUCAGCUUAACACGUUGACUGCCAUAGAAGCCCCCGAUGACCGGCACGAGAAAUGUAAUAGAUACCAAAAAAAAAUUGUGUAAUAUUGUAAAUUAAAAGAGAUAACGCUACUAUUAUGCUAAUAUUGUAAAUUAAAAGAGUCAACGCGUCGUCUUCUUCUAUAUCCUUCACUACACUGGGA